GCAAGUCGUACGCUUCUUUUUCCACCGGAGCUUGCUCCACCGGAAAAAGAGGAGUGGCGAACGGGUGAGUAACACGUGGGUAACCUGCCCAUCAGAAGGGGAUAACACUUGGAAACAGGUGCUAAUACCGUAUAACAAUCGAAACCGCAUGGUUUUGAUUUGAAAGGCGCUUUCGGGUGUCGCUGAUGGAUGGACCCGCGGUGCAUUAGCUAGUUGGUGAGGUAACGGCUCACCAAGGCCACGAUGCAUAGCCGACCUGAGAGGGUGAUCGGCCACAUUGGGACUGAGACACGGCCCAAACUCCUACGGGAGGCAGCAGUAGGGAAUCUUCGGCAAUGGACGAAAGUCUGACCGAGCAACGCCGCGUGAGUGAAGAAGGUUUUCGGAUCGUAAAACUCUGUUGUUAGAGAAGAAUAAGGAUGAGAGUAACUGUUCAUCCCUUGACGGUAUCUAACCAGAAAGCCACGGCUAACUACGUGCCAGCAGCCGCGGUAAUACGUAGGUGGCAAGCGUUGUCCGGAUUUAUUGGGCGUAAAGCGAGCGCAGGCGGUUUCUUAAGUCUGAUGUGAAAGCCCCCGGCUCAACCGGGGAGGGUCAUUGGAAACUGGGAGACUUGAGUGCAGAAGAGGAGAGUGGAAUUCCAUGUGUAGCGGUGAAAUGCGUAGAUAUAUGGAGGAACACCAGUGGCGAAGGCGGCUCUCUGGUCUGUAACUGACGCUGAGGCUCGAAAGCGUGGGGAGCAAACAGGAUUAGAUACCCUGGUAGUCCACGCCGUAAACGAUGAGUGCUAAGUGUUGGAGGGUUUCCGCCCUUCAGUGCUGCAGCUAACGCAUUAAGCACUCCGCCUGGGGAGUACGACCGCAAGGUUG
rnacentral:rRNA from 1 species